GACGAACGCUGGCGGCGUGCUUAACACAUGCAAGUCGAACGGAGUGGCGAACGGGUGAGUAACACGUGGGUGAUCUGCCUUGCACUCUGGGAUAAGCUUGGGUAACUGCGUCUAAUACUGGAUAGUGCAAGAUGAGCUUGCGGCCUAUCAGCUUGGUGGUGGGGUAAUGGCCUACCAAGGCGUCGACGGGUAGUCGGCCUGAGAGGGUGUACGGCCACAUUGGGACUGAGAUACGGCCCAGACUCCUACGGGAGGCAGCAGUGGGGAAUAUGGCACAAUGGGCGGAAGCCUGAUGCGGCGACGCCGCGGGGGGGAUGACGGCCUUCGGGUUGUAAACUCCUUUCGACAGGGACGCGGUACCUGUAUAAGAAGCACCGGCUAACUACGUGCCAGCAGCCGCGGUAAUUC
rnacentral:rRNA from 1 species